UACGAAGGGGGCGAGCGUUGUUCGGAUUUACUGGGCGUAAAGGGCGCGUAGGCGGCGGACCAAGUCGAGUGUGAAAGCCCCGGGCUCAACCUGGGAGGUGCGCUCGAGACUGGUUUGCUAGAGUUCGGGAGAGGAGCGUGGAAUUCCCAGUGUAGAGGUGAAAUUCGUAGAUAUUGGGAAGAACACCGGUGGCGAAGGCGGCGCUCUGGACCGAGGCUGACGCUGAGGCGCGAAGGCGUGGGGAGCAAACAGG
rnacentral:rRNA from 1 species